rnacentral:pre_miRNA from 1 species
AUGGUACUCCCUCCAUCCGAAAAUACUUAUCAUCAAAAUGGAUAAAAAAAGAUGUAUCUAGUACUAAAAUACAUCUAGAUACAUCUCCUUUUAUCCAUUUUGAUGACAAGUAUUUCCUGACGGAGGGAGUAUUAU